UACGGAAGGCAGCAGUGGGGAAUAUUGCACAAUGGGCGCAAGCCUGAUGCAGCCAUGCCGCGUGUAUGAAGAAGGCCUUCGGGUUGUAAAGUACUUUCAGUCGUGAGGAAGGUGUUAAGGUUAAUAACCUUAGCAAUUGACGUUAGCGACAGAAGAAGCACCGGCUAACUCCGUGCCAGCAGCCGCGGUAAUACGGAGGGUGCGAGCGUUAAUCGGAAUUACUGGGCGUAAAGGGCACGCAGGCGGUUAAUUAAGUUGGAUGUGAAAUCCCCGGGCUUAACCUGGGAAUGGCAUUCAAGACUGGUUAGCUAGAGUCUUGUAGAGGGGGUAGAAUUCCAUGUGUAGCGGUGAAAUGCGUAGAGAUGUGGAGGAAUAUCGGUGGCGAAGGCGGCCCCUGGGACAAAGACUGACGCUCAUGUGCGAAAGCGUGGGGAGCAAAUAGGGAUUAGAUACC
rnacentral:rRNA from 1 species